GAUCCCCCCUCCUCAUGUCGAAUCUGGCCGCAGAAGUGGCCGAGAAGGCCCUCGAGCUCGGCAUGCUCGCGCCAGCGCGCUCUAGGCUCCAUCGGAGGCGGACGCGGAGGCGCAGGACUCCACGCCUCUCCUCUGCCCUGCUCCUUCUUCGAAUCCAGUCGCCUAAGUGCUCGAGGAGGCGCUCGAGCUUGGCAUGCUCGUCGGCGACACCGGGCCCCUCCCUCCUCCUGUUGCCUCGCCGCCGCCAUGAGCCCCUCCACCCUCUCCUGUGUGAUUGUACAGCUCCAGGCAGUCUGUUGGCACAAUGAAUAAUGUCUGCUCUUCGACUGGAGCAGUUCUUCCCUGUUGGUAAUCAGAGGAUACAUGCUACUAAUUCUUCAACUGAAAUUAAUUUUCAGUUUGAUCCAAGAGCAAAUCAUGAACCUCAAGUUUUCUUAGCACCUAUGCCAAAGAGAAGAAGGUUAGUUUCUUUCAAGAAUGAAAGAACUGGUACCAAAGGAACUGCUGUCAGUAAAAGACAUUAUGGGAAGCAAGCUGACACCCCACCGCAACCUGUGCCUAAAGCAAAUGAAGCAAGUGCAGGGGCCAACCCUUUUCUAUGGAGCACAAUUUCAAGCUCAUCAACCAACAUAACCUUUGGCACUAAUAGCAAUCGCACAUAUUGUGGACAGCUUCACAAUGUGUCCCUCACUGAGAAAUCACCAUGAAUGUUCCCUUUCAAGUCACUUCAUAAGUUGUUCUGUUAUUGGGCUUUGUUAGAUAAGCUGAUUUAACUGAGUAUUAUUCUGCUCUAGAUUGUUGCUUCUGGUUGUGAGUGAAUCUAAGAGUUAACAUGGUACAAUAUCUUCUCGAAGAUGAUGUAUUCCUUCAUAAAAAAGGAUGUUGGAGAAGUUAUUAUUGAAGAGGAGUUCAGUCUCAUGUGAUUCUCAAGAGCUAAAAUGGAACAAGAAGUGCAGGCCUCUCAUGUCUACACUAACUAAUCAGAAAAAACGUGGUAUCAGAAAAGGGCGAAUAGGGGAAGAAUCAACAUAGAUAUUGUCCCGGUUUUAUCCCGUCCUGGAGCUACAAGAAGGCUGGGUGAAGUCUACGAUGGGUUCUUUUCCAAGCAAAGAGAAGGCUGAGGCGACUCUGGUCUACAGCUACAAGAACGCCAUCAGCAGGUUCGGGACGAAGCUCACGCCCGCGCAAGUCGCCGUGUUGAGGAGGAAUUUCAGUAAAACAAAGGAUUCAGCGCCAUAUGAGCAGCACAUGGCGAAUUCAGCGCCAAAUCGAAGGAGUUGGCGAGCAUAAACAUAAACAAGAGGUCCGGCCGAGGGUGGAGGGCACAUACCCUGAUGCCCUCCCUGGGCACGAGCACUUGGUCGGAGAAGGGGGCGGCGGCGGCGAAGCCGAAGCGUGAGGAUGCGGAGGAGGAGUUGGCCAUGUCCUCGCGCCUCCGCGGAUCCGGUGUGCUCCCGACUCCGCCGGCUAGUCGGGGUUCAGCGGCGAGCGGCGAAGAGGAACGGAAGCCGCACCUCGUCUGCGGGGAAUUCUUUUGAGAUGUCUACAGCGGAGACUUUUGAGACCAAGGUUGAGACAGAGACGACAUUCUGGCAGGUGGGACCGCCAUGCUCCUACUUGUCUUUAAUUUUUAUUUUUAUUUUUCUGAGGGGAUUUUAUUGUUUUUCUUAAUAAAUUCCUUUACGA